rnacentral:tRNA from 1 species
UCCCUGGUGGUCCAGUGGUUAGGACUCCGCACUCUCACUGUCGAGGGGGCCCAGGCUCAAUUCCUGUUAGGGAA